UGAAUGUCCUAGGGGGUAUUGCACUUACCGAAGACUAUCAAACUCCGAAUGCCGUAUUCUUUUGCUUGGGAGUCAGACUAUGGGUGAUAAGAUUCAUAGUCAAGAGGGCAACAGCCCAGAUCGUCAGCUAAGGUCCCUAAAUGUAAGUUAAGUGGUAAAGGAUGUGGAAUUGCACAGACAACCAGGAUGUUGGCUUAGAAGCAGCCACUCAUUUAAAGAGUGCGUAAUAGCUCACUGGUCGAGUGAUUCUGCGCCGAAAAUUUCCGGGGCUAAAACUUACUACCGAAGCUACGGCAUCAUUAUGAUGGGUAGGGGAGCUUUCUAUACGGGUUGAAGCAUGACCGUAAGGACAUGUGGACUGUAUAGAAGUGAGAAUGUUGGCAUGAGUAGCGAGAUGUGGGUGAGAAUCCCACAGGCCGUAAACCCAAGGUUUCCAGGGGAAGGUUCGUCCGCCCUGGGUUAGUCAGGACCUAAGCCGAGGCCGAAAGGCGUAGGUGAUGGACAACAGGUUGAUAUUCCUGUACCACCAAUAACCGUUUGAGAAAUGGGAUGACACAGUAGGAUAAGCUAACCGCACUGUUGGUUAUGUGCGGGCAAGUAUUGAGGCAGUUCCGAUAGGCAAAUCCGUCGGAAUAAUGCUGGGGUACGAUGCGGAGCGAAAUUUAGUAGCGAAGUAGCUGAUUUCACACUGUCGAGAAAAGUCUCUAUCGAGGUUAAAGGUGCCUGUACCGCAAACCGACACAGGUGGGUGAGGAGAGUAUCCUAAGGCCAGCGAGAGAACUGUUGUUAAGGAACUCGGCAAAAUGACCCCGUAACUUAGGGAGAAGGGGUGCCUUCGAAAGAAGGCCGCAGAGAAUAGGCCCAAGCGACUGUUUACCAAAAACAUAGGUUUCUGCUAAGUCGCAAGACGAUGUAUAGGAGCUGACGCCUGCCCGGUGCUGGAAGGUUAAGGGGAUCUGUUAGAGCAAUCGAAGCAGUGAACUUAAGCCCCAGUAAACGGCGGCCGUAACUAUAACGGUCCUAAGGUAGCGAAAUUCCUUGUCGGGUAAGUUCCGACCCGCACGAAAGGCGUAACGAUUUGGGCACUGUCUCAACAACAGACUCGGUGAAAUUGUAAUACCGGUGAAGAUGCCGGUUACCUGCGACAGGACGGAAAGACCCCAUGGAGCUUUACUGUAGCUUGACAUUGAGUCUCGGUGCUACAUGUACAGGAUAGGUGGGAGACUAUGAAGCAUGGACGUCAGUCUGUGUGGAGUCAUCCUUGGGAUACCACCCUUGUAGUACUGGGAUUCUAACCAGAGGCCAUGAAUCUGGUCUUGGGACACUGUCAGGUGGACAGUUUGACUGGGGCGGUCGCCUCCCAAAAAGUAACGGAGGCGCUCAAAGGUUCUCUCAGUACGGUCGGAAAUCGUACGAAGAGUGUAAAGGCAAAAGAGAGCUUGAUUGCAAGACAUACAGGUCGAGCAAGGACGAAAGUCGGACUUAG
rnacentral:rRNA from 1 species